AGAAUCAACGCUGGCGGCGUGCCUAACACAUGCAAGUCGCACGAGAAAGGGGAACAAUCCCUGAGUACAGUGGCGCACGGGUGAGUAACACGUGAAUAAUCUACCUCCGAGUGGGGAAUAACUGAGAGAAAUCUUAGCUAAUACCGCAUAAUACCCACGGGUCAAAGCAGCAAUGCGCUUGGAGAGGAGUUCGCGGCAGAUUAGUUAGUUGGCGGGGUAAUGGCCCACCAAGACGAUGAUCUGUA
rnacentral:rRNA from 1 species